AAGCCCCCCAGCAGGAGAGAUACCAUGAACACGAAGGUGGUUUCUCCAGGGCAAGGCUCACCCAUCGCACUCCGGAUGUGCUGACCCCUGAGAUUUUCCCAAAUGUGGGAAACUCGACUGCAUAAUUUGUGGUAGUGGGGGACUGUAUUCACGCUCUCCCCUG